rnacentral:rRNA from 1 species
UACAGAGGGUGCAAGCGUUAAUCGGAAUUACUGGGCGUAAAGCGUGCGUAGACGGUGGCGUAAGUCGGGUGUGAAAGCCCCGGGCUCAACCUGGGAAUUGCAUUCGAGACUGCUCUGCUAGGGUGCGGAAGAGGGAAGCGGAAUUUCCGGUGUAGCGGUGAAAUGCGUAGAUAUCGGAAGGAACACCAGUGGCGAACGCGGCUUCCUGGUCCAGCACCGACGUUCAGGCACGAAAGCGUGGGGAGCAAACAGG